UGAUGUUAGCGGCGGACGGGUGAGUAACACGUGGGUAACCUGCCUGUAAGACUGGGAUAACUCCGGGAAACCGGGGCUAAUACCGGAUGUUGUUUGAACCGCAUGGUUCAGACAUAAAAGGUGGCUUCGGCUACCACUUACAGAUGGACCCGCGGCGCAUUAGCUAGUUGGUGAGGUAACGGCUCACCAAGGCGACGAUGCGUAGCCGACCUGAGAGGGUGAUCGGCCACACUGGGACUGAGACACGGCCCAGACUCCUACGGGAGGCAGCAGUAGGGAAUCUUCCGCAAUGGACGAAAGUCUGACGGAGCAACGCCGCGUGAGUGAUGAAGGUUUUCGGAUCGUAAAGCUCUGUUGUUAGGGAAGAACAAGUGCCGUUCAAAUAGGGCGGCACCUUGACGGUACCUAACCAGAAAGCCACGGCUAACUACGUGCCAGCAGCCGCGGUAAUACGUAGGUGGCAAGCGUUGUCCGGAAUUAUUGGGCGUAAAGGGCUCGCAGGCGGUUUCUUAAGUCUGAUGUGAAAGCCCCCGGCUCAACCGGGGAGGGUCAUUGGAAACUGGGGAACUUGAGUGCAGAAGAGGAGAGUGGAAUUCCACGUGUAGCGGUGAAAUGCGUAGAGAUGUGGAGGAACACCAGUGGCGAAGGCGACUCUCUGGUCUGUAACUGACGCUGAGGAGCGAAAGCGUGGGGAGCGAACAGGAUUAGAUACCCUGGUAGUCCACGCCGUAAACGAUGAGUGCUAAGUGUUAGGGGGUUUCCGCCCCUUAGUGCUGCAGCUAACGCAUUAAGCACUCCGCCUGGGGAGUACGGUCGCAAGACUGAAACUCAAAGGAAUUGACGGGGGCCCGCACAAGCGGUGGAGCAUGUGGUUUAAUUCGAAGCAACGCGAAGAACCUUACCAGGUCUUGACAUCCUCUGACAAUCCUAGAGAUAGGACGUCCCCUUCGGGGGCAGAGUGACAGGUGGUGCAUGGUUGUCGUCAGCUCGUGUCGUGAGAUGUUGGGUUAAGUCCCGCAACGAGCGCAACCCUUGAUCUUAGUUGCCAGCAUUCAGUUGGGCACUCUAAGGUGACUGCCGGUGACAAACCGGAGGAAGGUGGGGAUGACGUCAAAUCAUCAUGCCCCUUAUGACCUGGGCUACACACGUGCUACAAUGGACAGAACAAAGGGCAGCGAAACCGCGAGGUUAAGCCAAUCCCACAAAUCUGUUCUCAGUUCGGAUCGCUAGUCUGCAACUCGACUGCGUGAAGCUGGAAUCGCUAGUAAUCGCGGAUCAGCAUGC
rnacentral:rRNA from 1 species